rnacentral:lncRNA from 1 species
GAUGGGGAAUUUUUAUGGAAUUUCCCUAUUUUCAUAGUACGGUCAUAAAAUAUAAUUUUUAUGAAAUAAAAUUAAAAGUUACUGCCAAAAAAUUUAACCAUUAAUAAUUAUUUUAGAUGGUAGCAGUAAGAUUGGAAUUUUUUUUUUUUUGAGAUCGAAGGUAUGAAAAUAACAAAAAGUUAUUUUUUGAGAGUUAAAUCACAAAUGUUAAUUAGUAUAUGUAUUUGUUUUGCAAAAAAAAAACAAAAGUUCAGGUUUAAACGUCCAAAAU